rnacentral:rRNA from 1 species
CCUACGGGGGGCAGCAGUGGGGAAUAUUGGACAAUGGGCGAAAGCCUGAUCCAGCCAUGCCGCGUGUGUGAAGAAGGCCUUCGGGUUGUAAAGCACUUUCAGUGGGGAAGAAAGCCUUGGGGCUAAUACCCUCGAGGAAGGACAUCACUCACAGAAGAAGCACCGGCUAACUCCGUGCCAGCAGCCGCGGUAAUACGGAGGGUGCGAGCGUUAAUCGGAAUUACUGGGCGUAAAGCGCGCGUAGGCGGUUUGAUAAGCCGGUUGUGAAAGCCCCGGGCUCAACCUGGGAACGGCAUCCGGAACUGGCAGGCUAGAGUGCAGGAGAGGAAGGUAGAAUUCCCGGUGUAGCGGUGAAAUGCGUAGAGAUCUGGAGGAAUACCAGUGGCGAAGGCGGCCUUCUGGACUAACACUGACGCUGAGGUGCGAAAGCGUGGGUAGCAAACAGGAUUAGAUACCCUUGUAGUC